rnacentral:tRNA from 1 species
GGGUGAUUAGCUCAGCUGGUUUAGAGCACUACCUCGACAAGGUAGGGGUCGGCGGUUCGAACCCGUCAUCACCCA